GACGAACGCUGGCGGCGUGCUUAACACAUGCAAGUCGAACGAGGUCCCUGCAGUCGCCCGACUGCGGAAGAUCUAGUGGCGAACGGGUGCGUAACACGUGAGAAACCUGCCCCGGUCUCUGGAAUAACAAGUGGAAACACUUGCUAAUACCGGAUGCCGUCGGACCAUCGCAUGAUGGACUGACGAAAGGGCUACCGGAUCGGGAGGGUCUCGCGGCCUAUCAGCUUGUUGGUGAGGUAACGGCUCACCAAGGCAUCGACGGGUAGCUGGGCUGAGAGGAUGAGCAGCCACACUGGGGCUGAGACACGGCCCAGACUCCUACGGGAGGCAGCAGUGGGGAAUCUUGCACAAUGGGCGAAAGCCUGAUGCAGCAACGCCGCGUGCGGGAAGAAGGCCCUAGGGUUGUAAACCGCUUUCAGCAGGGAAGAAACUGACGGUACCUGUAGAAGAAGGGGCGGCCAACUACGUG
rnacentral:rRNA from 1 species